AUAUUGCACAAUGGGGGAAACCCUGAUGUAGCAACGCCGCGUGAGCGAUGAAGGUNUUNNAAUCGNANAGCCCUGUCCUAAGGNNNNNUAAUGAUGGUACCUUAGGAGGAAGCCGCGGCUAACUACGUGCCAGCAGCCGCGGUAAUACGUAGGGGGCAAGCGUUUUCCGGAAUCAUUGGGCGUAAAGAGUACGUAGGCGGCCUUAUGGGUCGAAGGAGAAAUUCUACGGCUUAACCGUAGUAAGCCUUUGAAACUGUAGGGCUUGGGUGCAGGAGAGGGGAGUGGAAUGCCUAGUGUAGCGGUGAAAUGCGUAGAUAUUAGGAGGAACACCAGUGGCGAAGGCGACUCUCUGGACUGCAACUGACGCUGAGGCACGAAAGCGUGGGUAGCGAAC
rnacentral:rRNA from 1 species